rnacentral:misc_RNA from 1 species
AUUACACUGGCUGAGCACAUUCCUAGCAGCCGCGGCUGCGCCGCUCCCCAGCGGGGCAAAAACAGUCCUCAUGCACCCGCACACCACCAGGCUCCCCCCUGGUACUAUAAGCUCAUUCUGGACAGCUGUAGCCCCAGCGCAACACGAUGCUGUAGGUCCACCAGUUAGAGUAGUGUAGAGGGCAAGGCAAGGCGUGAGUGGUAAUACGAAGUCGCAAAUGCCAACCCCGCGUGCAAUGGGCGAGUUGGCGGCUAAGCAGACGAAGUAGAAGAUGCAGAGGAGAGCGGCAGCGGUGGAGGAGGCGGCCAUUGGCUUCGUUUUGAA